UACGUAGGGUGCAAGCGUUAUCCGGAAUUAUUGGGCGUAAAGAGCUCGUAGGCGGUUUGUCGCGUCUGCUGUGAAAACUGGAGGCUCAACCUCCAGCCUGCAGUGGGGUACGGGCAGACUAGAGUGCGGUAGGGGAGAUUGGAAUUCCUGGUGUAGCGGUGGAAUGCGCAGAUAUCAGGAGGACACCGAUGGCGAAGGCAGAUCUCUGGGCCGUAACUGGACGCUAAAGGAG
rnacentral:rRNA from 1 species